GCAGAACGCGAAGAACCUUACCAGGUCUUGACAUCCCUCUGAAUCCUCUAGAGAUAGAGGCGGCCUUCGGGACAGAGGAGACAGGUGGUGCAUGGUUGUCGUCAGCUCGUGUCGUGAGAUGUUGGGUUAAGUCCCGCAACGAGCGCAACCCUUGAUUUUAGUUGCCAGCACUUUAAGGUGGGCACUCUAGAAUGACUGCCGGUGACAAACCGGAGGAAGGCGGGGAUGACGUCAAAUCAUCAUGCCCCUUAUGACCUGGGCUACACACGUACUACAAUGGCCAGUACAACGGGAAGCGAAGUCGCGAGAUGGAGCCAAUCCUAUCAAAGCUGGUCUCAGUUCGGAUUGCAGGCUGCAACCCGCCUGCAUGAAGUCGGAAUUGCUAGUAAUCGCGGAUCAGCAUGCCGCGGUGAAUACGUUCCCGGGUCUUGUACACACCG
rnacentral:rRNA from 1 species